AGGUGGAGCAGCUGUGGAUUGGGGUGGAGGAUGUGACCUGAAUCCUGUGAAAGGAAUCACGGAGUUGGAUGGAGAGAGAUCGGUCAGCAUGCCAUCAUGCAAACGAGGUACCUGGUCACAAUAGCAACAUUUAUCUAUUGUUUCUAUUUGAAAGCUGUUUUUGCUGUUGUACAUCUCAUUAUUCAAUGUCUUGGACAAAGAUGCAGAUUAAUCCACCAGUUCAGAAGUGAAGUGCUACUGUGAAAUGGCCCCAGUCCCUCAAUCACAUGGAGAUAGCGUUGAGAGAUUUUGGUAGCAAAUAUCCUUUUAUGAAAGGGCAUGAACUGCAUGUGUCCCCCUACUAGAAGGCAAGACGCUAUCAACACUAUCUCAUUCUUUCCUGAUUUUCUGGGCUACCCUGACUGAAAGGGAAUGGGAAGGGACAAUAUUGGUCUGCUGAAGAGAUUACAUCUGUUCUCCGCUCCUUUUUGUCCUAAUGCCUGGAAAUAGAGAUCUAGUUUCCCUACUCUCUGAAGAUCAUUUCUAGGAUGUUCUGGUUUAAACUCCCACUCUCCUAGAGAUUGUGUUUGCCUGUUCUUCCAGCCUCAUUUACAUAUUGAACUUCCUUUGGUUGUAUUUUGCAGAGAUCAUUACAAAUUCUAUUCUGGCCAGAGCAGAAUUCUGAGAUCUGCAGAAUGCAUGGAAGACUUUGGUCCCCUGGUCAGUUCACUUAGGCUACUGCUGUGCAGCUUUUGCUCUGCAAGAGAAUAAUAUUUGAGUUUAGAUGUCUUGUGACUCUUAAGUCAAUUGCUUUUAUCUUUGUCUGACUGUCACAGGGUAGACUCACCCACUGCAGGUGGCACCUCCUCCUAGCAGCUCUGAGGAAUUCGCUCUUUUCCAUGGCCGACCCCUCCCCUUAUGUUCUCUCUACCUGUUGUUCUCUCUCUUACUCUGUGGCUGCUUGCUCACUCCAGGAAUUGUAGCUUCCUCUUCGUGACUUGGCCUUCCGGGGUAUAGAGUCUCACUUCACCUGCUGUUCAGGCAAUGCCAUUCCAUCAGUGGCUGGUAGGGGAAUCCAGGGCCGCCCACCAUUUUGGAUUCCAUUCCAGGGACCCUACAACAUGCAGCCAAGUUCUGCUCCGUCCCCAGUCUUGCUGCUCUCUCUCUGGGCAGCUUCCUACUCUGCCUCCCACAGGCUUUCUUAUCCACGCUUCUCUUCUGGCUGCACCCUUCCCUCAGGGCCAGGCUCCCAGGGGUUCUACUCUUUCCCUGGCUUUCCUUCUGCCCUCUCUAAUGAGCAGAGGGUUGCUGUAAACUUCCUCACUGCAGCCAUUUCUGUUGCCAGCAUCCUGGCUUUAUACUAACCCAGCCCACACCUGCUCAGCUGAGCUUCAUUGUCCAAUCAGGGGUUGCUUCUCCAGCCUAAACCCCUCAUAUGUGGUCUAUCUCACUAAUUGGCCCUUUCUCAGCUUCAUUAACCCUUUCAGGGUUGGUGUGGGGUGAACACCCAAUAAAAGUGACCAUAAAAGCAUUCCAAUGCCAGAGGCAAGGGGCUCCACUGGUAUCAGGUAGUGAGUUUCAGCUGGCCUGAUCAGUUCAAUGUACCCCAAUUCACUCAUGUCAUAAUCUGUCAACUAUCUACUAGUUGUCAUGUAAGGUAUCGUUGGAAAACCCAUAACACACUGAUCAUUAAUAUUUGUGUGUGGUAUAUGUAUGGUGAAUGCUUAAAGGACUGUAUAAAUGUGAAAGAAAUAUAGGACUAAAAUGUGCUUGAACCAGAUAAGUCUGGGGAAUGGAUAAACAGGCCUUUUCCAGAUAAAGGAAAGAUCAAAACCUCCAUCCAGGUGUAAUCAUAGUCUGGUAGCCAUUCAUUGGCAAUUUGGAGGCUGCAGGGACAGAUAGUUUGCAUUACAGAAAGCACCAGCAGUGAAGAAACCAGCAUGGGACUUUCUCCAUUAGACUCCAUGGCACCUUUCCUCAAAGCAAGGACACUGAACUUUGAGAAGGAUACAUUCCGAAAGUUCACUGAAUUAUAAGAGAGGGGCAAGGAAUCCUAAGUUAUCUUUCACCUAAGAAGACAAAGGAACCGAGCACUUUGGACUUUCUGAGAGAUCCUGACCAAGGAAAUGGUCAGUCACUUGGCUGGAAAGAGAUGUGGUAAGACUCUGACCUAGAACCAAGACUGUAGUUUUGUUAAGUCUUAGACACUAGAAAGCACUUUUGUUUUAACCAUUUGUGACUUUGUCUUCUAUUUUAAAUCUCUUAAAAACUCUCUUUUUGAUUAAACUUGUUUUACUUUUAUUCUAAAUCAACCCAGUGCUGUGUUUGACUUGAAGUGAUUAUUAACUUGUUAAAGCAACAAGCUGCUGUGCUUUUGUCUCUUUAAAGGAGCAACGGACCUUAUUACUCCUCUGAAUGUUCCAGGAGAGGGCUGGAUGUUUCAGGGCAGAUGGUUUGGGGGAAAUUUGGGACUGGAGUUAUGUUGGAGUCACUUGGCUGGUGGUGACCAGAAUGUCAGAAUGACUGUGGUGCGACAAGCAGGCUGCUGGAGUCAGAGCUGCUUAACCCGGGCUACUCAAUACCCAGAUCCUUAGUACAUGCUUUUAUGCUGGCUGGGAGCAUCCAGAUAGGGAGCCACAGCAGCAGAGCAUUUUAAGGCACCCAGGGUUACGGGACAAGUGAUGAUGUGGUCUUGGUUGAACCCCAAAAUUUGACACUUGGGCUUUUAUAUUUCUCCUUUCUGCUUCAGACCACUUGCCUUUGGCAUGUGUGAGGGUCCAUCUGUGCUUCUUGGAGAGAACUCUUUUUAUAGUAAGGUCAGGGCUUUUUCAGUAGAGAUUCUUUUCCAUCUCUAGCUUCUAUGAUUUUGGAACAGGGAAAGGAAUCUCCUGUUCUAGCUGAUGAAUAUCAUGGUGUAGUAGUACCUCCAGGACUCUGCUGGUAUCCCUGGCUCCAUGGUAGAAAGAUGACUGCACAGGAAAUCCAAAUAGUGUAAAUUGGAUCUUCUCAUUAUAGAGGAGUGCUACUCAAGUUGUUGCUGUUUAUUAUUUGUAUUGCAAUAGCCCAUAGGAGCUCAAGUCAUGGACCAGGGACCAAUUGUGCCAGGCAUUGAACAAACACAGAACAAUAUGUGAGUCCUUGUCAUACACUGUACGCUCCUUGGGACAAGAGAUGGAUACAACAGACCGAUGGGAAGCACAAGAAAACACUGAGACAAUAUUGGUCAGCAUGAUAGGCAAUGGUCUCAGCAUGCUGGUUGCCUAAAUGUUAGUUUUGUUUGUUUUUGUAGGCCUCACUGCAAAUGAGAUUUUAAGGAGGGCUUUGAAAAACAACAAUGUGGCUUUGCAGAUGUUUACAGGAAUUAUUCUCAUGCAUGAAAAGAAAACACAAAGUUGCUUGUUUGAAAAUUUAAAAUGAAGGCUGGCAUGACUGGGAGAGUCACUCUUUCCUCAUAUGUCAUGUUUUCUAGACCUUUAAUCAUUUUUGUUGCUCUUCUCUGGACUUUCUCCAAUUUGUCCACAUC